rnacentral:pre_miRNA from 1 species
ACAAUACUAUAUUUGUAUGGAAUUGGAUCGUUUGCCUACGUUUGCCGCUAGGGGCGCUGUUCCAACUGCAUACAAAAUUGGGUUA